AAGUCGUAACAAGGUUUCCGUAGGUGAACCUGCGGAAGGAUCAUUAGUGAAUAUUAGCGCAUCUACUUGUAGAGCGUGACCUCCACUUUCUAACUCUGUGCAUUUAUUGGCGGAAGGACUUGAGCAAUCGAGUUUCCUUCUGCGGCUCAUUUUAAAACACUAGUUAAAGUAUGUAACGAAAUAUCGAAACAAAAAAAACUUUCAACAACGGAUCUCUUGGCUUGC
rnacentral:misc_RNA from 1 species